AUCUCAGGCUGUCUUUUUCCGGAGGACGGGUUUGAUCCUUUUCUAGCCGAGUUUUGUCUUUCGAGUCUCAUGUUGAGUUUUGUCUUUCAUAUGAUACUUUGUCUUAAGAACUAGGGCUGAGCCCGUUCCUCGCUCAAGCGAAAGAAAGAGGAAGCUUACUUACCUCUUAGAAUAACCAGAUAUAAGGUAAACUAAAGCAUCUGUCAUAUGCUGUAAUCGAAUCCGUAAAAUAUCUUUCAUAAGAGAGUUUCUCACAUAAAUGAGUCCUCCCCUGAAGUCCUUUCUGCACUUGCUGCCUAGCCUUCGGGAAUGAAAGUCAGUGCCCCUGGUUUGGAUUUAUAAGGAGCAGCUUCCUAACCGCUUUCCAACAUCAUCUUUCUCGCUUUCCAAAGCAAAGGUAAACGACUAACUAAGCAAAGCACUAGGUACGGUCAGCCUUAGACAAGACAAGCCAAUCAUUCACACCUGACUUUAUCUAUAUUAACUUUUUCUAUAGCUAGUCCUAUUGAGUAAUGGAAGGGGUCGGUACGGUAGGCUCUCUAUCUCAAUCCGAGGAACUGAACUAGAGCUCAGGAAGAAGCCAGCCCUAAAUCCGCUUAUGAGAACUUCACUUCACGAUUGGACGGCUAAGCUAAGCACCAACUUCCGCGAGGACUGCCCUGAAGGAUAGGACUUUUUUCUCUUACCAAGAGAGAAUAAGGUAAG
rnacentral:misc_RNA from 1 species